GAUGAACGCUGGCUACAGGCUUAACACAUGCAAGUCGAGGGGAAACGACGGGGAAGCUUGCUUCCCCGGGCGUCGACCGGCGCACGGGUGAGUAACGCGUAUCCAACCUGCCUCUGACUGAGGGAUAACCCGUCGAAAGUCGGCCUAAUACCCCAUGGCAUCGUCUGCGGGCAUCCAACGACGAUUAAAGAUUUCAUCGGUCAGGGAUGGGGAUGCGUCUGAUUAGCUUGUUGGCGGGGUAACGGCCCACCAAGGCUACGAUCAGUAGGGGUUCUGAGAGGAAGGUCCCCCACAUUGGAACUGAGGCACGGUCCAAACUGCUACGGGGGGCAGCAGUGAGGAAGAUUGGUCAAUGGGCGGGAGCCUGAACCAGCCAAGUAGCGUGCAGGAGGACGGCCCUAUGGGUUGUAAACUGCUUUUAUGCGGGGAUAAAGUGAGGGACGUGUCCUUCAUUGCAGGUACCGCAUGAAUAAGGACCGGCUAAUUCCGUG
rnacentral:rRNA from 1 species